UACGAAGGGGGCUAGCGUUGUUCGGAAUUACUGGGCGUAAAGCGCGCGCAGGCGGUUCUUCAAGUCAGAGGUGAAAGCCCAGAGCUCAACUCUGGAAUGGCCUUUGAGACUAGAGAACUAGGGUACGGGAGAGGUGAGUGGAAUUCCGAGUGUAGAGGUGAAAUUCGUAGAUAUUCGCAAGAACACCAGUGGCGAAGGCGGCUCACUGGCCCGGUACUGACGCUGAGGCACGAAAGCGUGGGGAGCAAACAGG
rnacentral:rRNA from 1 species